rnacentral:rRNA from 1 species
AAUGAACGCUGGCGGCAUGCCUAACACAUGCAAGUCGAACGAAGGCUUCGGCCUUAGUGGCGCACGGGUGCGUAACGCGUGGGAAUCUGCCCUUGGGUUCGGAAUAACAGUUAGAAAUGACUGCUAAUACCGGAUGAUGUUGUGAGACCAAAGAUUUAUCGCCCAAGGAUGAGCCCGCGUAGGAUUAGCUAGUUGGUGGGGUAAAGGCCCACCAAGGCGACGAUCCUUAGCUGGUCUGAGAGGAUGAUCAGCCACACUGGGACUGAGACACGGCCCAGACUCCUACGGGAGGCAGCAGUGGGGAAUAUUGGACAAUGGGCGAAAGCCUGAUCCAGCAAUGCCGCGUGAGUGAUGAAGGCCUUAGGGUUGUAAAGCUCUUUUACCCGGGAUGAUAAUGACAGUACCGGGAGAAUAAGCUCCGGCUAACUUCGUGCCAGCCGCCGCAGUAAAAC